GGAUGCGAUCAUACCAGCACUAAAGCACCGGAUCACAUCAGAACUCCGAAGUUAAGCGUGCUUGGGCNGCACCGGAUCACAUCAGAACUCCGAAGUUAAGCGUGCUUGGGCGAGAGUAGUACUAGGAUGGGUGACCUCGUGCUGCAUUCC
rnacentral:rRNA from 1 species